rnacentral:lncRNA from 1 species
GGCAGGCAAUAACGGUACCACGACACAUGCGACAGCUGACAAGUGGCCCCAACAAGGGGGAGCCAGCCAGUCAGCACAGGCAGAGGCAGAGCUACAGCCCAGAGUUCUCCCAAGCUCGCGCACGAGCGCAAAGAACGGCACACAGAGAGCAGCGUAGCGACUAACGGGUUCUAGGCCAAGAGAGAAAAAAACGAAGCAGAAGAAAUGGGAGGAGGGGUGCAGUGAGGAAGGAGUGCAGUGAGGAAGAGCCACAAAGAAAGAAAGAAACUCGAAAUGCAGGGUGCUCGUCAA